rnacentral:rRNA from 1 species
CCUCCUUCUUGUGAGAACCGUAAUGCCAUUAAUUUGGUGUUGCGGGGAAACAGGACUGUUACUUUGAAAAAAUUAGAGUGUUUAAAGCAGGGUAGCGCCUGAAUACAUUAGCAUGGAAUAAUGAAAUAGGACGUUCGAACCUAUUUUGUUGGUUUCUAGGAUUGACGUAAUGAUUAAUAGGGAUAGUUGGGGGCAUUAGUAUUCAAUUGUCAGAGGUGAAAUUCUUGGAUUUAUUGAAGACUGACUACUGCGAAAGCAUUUGCCAAGGAUGUUUUCAUUAAUCAAGAACGAAAGUUAGGGGAUCGAAGACGAUCAGAUACCGUCGUAGUCUUAACCAUAAACUAUGCCGACUAGGGAUCGGAUGAUGUUAAUUUUUUAAUGACUCAUUCGGCGCCUUACG